GAUGAACGCUGACAGAAUGCUUAACACAUGCAAGUCAACUUGAACUUCGGUUUGGGUGGCGGACGGGUGAGUAACGCGUAAAGAACUUGCCUCACAGAUAGGGACAACAUUUGGAAACGAAUGCUAAUACCUGAUAUUAUGAUUUUAGGGCAUCCUAGGAUUAUGAAAGCUAUAUGCGCUGUGAGAGAGCUUUGCGUCCCAUUAGCUAGUUGGAGAGGUAACGGCUCACCAAGGCGAUGAUGGGUAGCCGGCCUGAGAGGGUGAUCGGCCACAAGGGGACUGAGACACGGCCCUUACUCCUACGGGAGGCAGCAGUGGGGAAUAUUGGACAAUGGACCAAGAGUCUGAUCCAGCAAUUCUGUGUGCACGAUGAAGUUUUUCGGAAUGUAAAGUGCUUUCAGUUGGGAAGAAAAAAAUGACGGUACCAACAGAAGAAGUGACGGCUAAAUACAUG
rnacentral:rRNA from 1 species